AUUGAACGCUGGCGGCAUGCCUUACACAUGCAAGUCGAACGGCAGCACGGGAGCAAUCCUGGUGGCGAGUGGCGAACGGGUGAGUAAUAUAUCGGAACGUGCCCAGUCGUGGGGGAUAACGCAGCGAAAGCUGUGCUAAUACCGCAUACGAUCUACGGAUGAAAGCGGGGGAUCGCAAGACCUCGCGCGAUUGGAGCGGCCGAUAUCAGAUUAGCUAGUUGGUGGGGUAAAGGCCCACCAAGGCGACGAUCUGUAGCUGGUCUGAGAGGACGACAAGCCACACUAGAACUGAGACACGGUCCAGACUCCUACGGGAGGCAGCAGUGGGGAAUUUUGGACAAUGGGCGCAAGCCUGAUCCAGCAAUGCCGCGUGCAGGAUGAAGGCCUUCGGGUUGUAAACUGCUUUUGUACGGAACGAAACGGCCCUUUCUAAUACAGGGGGCUAAUGACGGUACCGUAAGAAUAAGCACCGGCUAACUACGUGCCAGCCGCCGCGGUAACAC
rnacentral:rRNA from 1 species